rnacentral:tRNA from 1 species
GAAGCGGUAGCACAAUACGUGCAUUUUAUUUACGAUAAAAAGGAGGCUCCGCCCCGUUUUA